rnacentral:rRNA from 1 species
AUUGAACGCUGGCGGCAUGCUUUACACAUGCAAGUCGAACGGUAACAGGCCGCAAGGUGCUGUCGAGUGGCGCACGGGUGCGUAAUGCAUCGGAACGUGCCCAGUCGUGGGGGAUAACUACUCGAAAGAGUAGCUAAUACCGCAUACGAUCUAUGGAUGUAAGCGGGGGACCGUAAGGCCUCGCGCGAUUGUAGCGGCCGAUGUUAGAUUAGGUAGUUGGUGGGGUAAAGGCUCACCAAGCCAACGAUCUGUAGCUGGUCUGAGAGGACGACCAGCCACACUGGGACUGAGACACGGCCCAGACUCCUACGGGAGGCAGCAGUGGGGAAUUUUGGACAAUGGGCGCAAGCCUGAUCCAGCAAUGCCGCGUGCAGGAAGAAGGCCUUCGGGUUGUAAACUGCUUUUGUACGGAACGAAACUGCUCUGGUUAAUACCCGGGGCUAAUGACGGUACCGUAAGAAUAAGCACCGGCUAACUACGUG